AGAUGGUCCAAAGGUAGUCAGUUAUCUCAAUUGAUUAUUCAGUCAAUUACGGAUCAAACUCCUUGUCCUACUCUUUCCCCAUUUUCACUACUGCACUUGAUGUCUUAAC
ensembl:misc_RNA Y_RNA Y RNA